UACGGAGGGUGCGAGCGUUAAUCGGCAUUACUGGGCGUAAAGCGCGCGUAGGCGGUUUGUUUAGUCGGAUGUGAAAGCCCCGGGCUCAACCUGGGAAUUGCAUUCGAUACUGGCAGACUAGAGUAUGGUAGAGGGUAGCGGAAUUCCCGGUGUAGCGGUGAAAUGCGUAGAUAUCGGGAAGAACAACAGUGGCGAAGGCGGCACUCUGGGCCGGUACUGACGCUGAGGUACGAAAGUGUGGGGAGCAAACAGG
rnacentral:rRNA from 1 species